GAUGAACGCUAGCGACAGGCCUAACACAUGCAAGUCGAGGGGUAGAAGAGGGCUCGCUCUUUUUGAGACCGGCGCACGGGUGAGUAACGCGUAUGCAACCUGGCCGUAAGAGGGGGAUAGCCUCUCGAAAGAGAGAUUAACACCGCAUAAUAUCAUUUGAAGGCAUCUUUAGAUGAUUAAAUAUUUAUAGCUUACGGAUGGGCAUGCGUCUGAUUAGUUUGUUGGUAGGGUAACGGCCUACCAAGACUACGAUCAGUAGGGGUUCUGAGAGGAAGGUCCCCCACACUGGUACUGAGACACGGACCAGACUCCUACGGGAGGCAGCAGUGAGGAAUAUUGGUCAAUGGACGGAAGUCUGAACCAGCCAAGUCGCGUGAAGGAAGACGGCCCUAUGGGUUGUAAACUUCUUUUGUAAGGGGAUAAAAACAUUACGAGUAAUGUCUUGUAGGUACCUUACGAAUAAGGAUCGGCUAACUCCGUGCCAGCAGCCGCCGUAACAC
rnacentral:rRNA from 1 species